rnacentral:misc_RNA from 1 species
GAGGCGCACUCCUCGUCCCCUUGAUGAAUGCGACUACCUUGUUCUCCUUCACCAACCGGUCGAUCAGCUCCUCCAGGGGGACCGUGAGCUGAACAUGGCGGCCAGGGGUCAAGCGGAGAUUUGGCUUCUUCUGUGGCGGCCGACGCACCCAUGUGUUGUUUCCGGUUUCAUUCCCUGGGGGGACCGCCCCUGUGGCUGCUAUGUGCUCCUCCAUCCAUGAUUUCCAAGCAUCGGUUAGAACAGUACGAUCAGGCACCGGCCCAGCAAUAAGGCCCACCUUGACGGAACAGCAGAGAUCCGGCAGUGUUUUCCCGUGCCCGGCGAUGCUGGCAGAGAUAUUCCUGGAC